ensembl:processed_transcript 2610206C17Rik RIKEN cDNA 2610206C17 gene
GACCGCGCCCUCCGCUCGCCACUGCGAGGCCACCUGCUGCGCCGCCCGCCGCUUCCGGCUCCCAGGCCGCCCGGAGGCUGCGCCCACCGCUGCCCGCACUCCUCACCUGGCGGCGGCCCUCUCCGCCGGACGCGCUGCCGCCGCCGCCUCUCGCCGCCGCUGAGAGUGAGGACAGCCUAGGCCUACCCAUCUGUGGAUGGUAAUGCCCACAGUGGACUGGGCUCUACUGUAUCAAUUUGCAAUCAAGAAAAUGUCGCAUGGAUAUGCCUACAGGCCAGUCUGAUGGAGACAGUUCUUCAACUGAAGUUCCUUUUUCCAAGCUUGUCUUUCAGGUGUUCUCAUCCCACUUUGAUAUCCUAUAUGGCAGGCUCUCUCCUAUGCUGCUUAACUUCCAAACUGAUAUUCUAGCUGAAUAUGACCAACACAUGUUCUUGGAGUCUUUGAAGGUCCUCCAAAGAUUCCAGAAGUAACUCCAGCCUGCCAUCUGCUAGGUUUAUCAAUCUGCAACUCCCUUUAAUCCUCAUUACUUUGAACCAGGUGACAAUGUUUGGAUUAAUAGACAUACACACAAGACUCUGGAACUCUGCUGGAAAGAACCUCAUACGAUGAUCCUGACCAUGUAAAUGGCUGUAUAGGUGGAUGGGAUCUGGACGUGGAUACACUACUCCCAUGUUAAGCCUGACAGAAGAGAGACAACACAGCAGUGGAGAUCUGGCAGGGAGAGACUUCCAGAUGUUCCACCAAGAGCAAUGGAAGCAUACCCACAUCUUGUUGAUCCAAUAGGGCUGCAACUUUGGCACUCCUGAUCAUGCAUGCCUGCUGCACCCUUCACCAACCCUUCAGUCUAACCUGGAUGCUUAUAGAUGUUGGAAGAGGUGAAAUACUUCACCAAGUCUCCAAACAAGUGCUAGAAAGGAUCUUGAGCUAUGGUUGGAUGAUUUCUCUGGGUUUGAGGUCUUGGAAUUGUACCAUUGGACCAAAAAUGGCCAAUUCUAUGUUUGCCCAGGCCACUGCUGCAUCAAGGCUCAGAGAGAUAAGUGUGGAGGGUCCUCUGAUUACUUUUGGGUUGUUUGGGGAUACGAAUUCAUCUGCUAUAUAUGGUGACUUGUGGUGCAUGCAUUAUUAAUACUUUAGUCAGGUUUGUUAAGGAACGGAUUUCCACUGAUGAUUGAGAAUCCAACUGGUGAUUCACAAGCAGCAAUACCAGCCCAUCUUAAGGUUUCAGGUUAGGCCAUUAUUCAAGGAGGGAAUGAGCGCCAAGCUGACUCCAUGAGAGGCUGCAAGAUGCCAGUUCAGGAGACUAGGCCUAAGUUUCUGUUUCCCAGAACUGAGCAGACCAGUUCUUGGAAAAACCACAGCCCAUGAACAGCCAAUCAGAAGCUGCCCUGCCAAGGUUAGUCAGCAAGGGUUCUUGUAAAGUCCCCAGGCCCCCAGUGAUGAGUUUGGAAAGCCCACAGAACUCUAGCCAAUCCCAGAGUUACCCAUACCCCUAGAGUUAGAGCCAACCAUUUGGGUCACCUACCUCUUCUUGGAAUUCCCCCUAAUAACCUUUAAAUUGAGCCUACAGAGCUCACCUUGAGGUUACCAUUUUUAUGAAUUGUAGACCCUUGCAUGCUGGAUUUCUGCAGAAUAAAUGCUCUUUCCUUUUGUAUACC